rnacentral:rRNA from 1 species
UACGUAGGGAGCAAGCGUUGUCCGGAAUCAUUGGGCGUAAAGCGCGCGCAGGCGGUCUUUUAAGUCUGAUGUGAAAGCCCACGCUCAACCGUGGAGGGUCAUUGGAAACUGGGAGACUUGAGUGCAGAAGAGAAGAGUGGAAUUCCACGUGUAGCGGUGAAAUGCGUAGAGAUGUGGAGGAACACCAGUGGCGAAGGCGACUCUUGGUCUGUAACUGACGCUGAGGCGCGAAAGCGUGGGGAGCAACAGG